AGUCACAUGACCCCAACUUAACUGCAAGGGAUGCUGGGCAAUAUAGUCCAGUAGUGUGGCUAGCAGGAAAAUUAAAGGGGUUUGGUGAAUCCAUUGCUCCUGCCAUCACCCAGAUUAAAGACCUGCCCUCUCAUCCGCAGUCAGGGAUUGAGUGGGCAAGCACUGUGGGCUGCAGACACCAAGCUCCACCAUGAUUCCCCCUCCACUCUCAGAGGCUCCAUCCAGCUGGCAGGCUCACAGCACUGCAGCCCAGCAUCUGAAGUGCUGGUUUGGGUUGAGUUCUCUCAGUACCAAUACAAGGCGGAUCGAAAUCAGCAAAAUCAACACCAAAGUCACUACUACAAGAGGCAAAGCAUUAGGAUACAAGACACCGGACUUUCAAAUCAACAAUUGUUUCAAAAGACUCCUACUGGAUUCCUGCUAGUGAUGGGAGAAAAUUAUCAUUCUGUGAGUUGUCAAUAAAUGUUUAACCACA
rnacentral:lncRNA from 1 species